GAUGAAGAACGUAGCGAAAUGCGAUACUUGGUGUGAAUUGCAGAAUCUCGUGAACCAUCGAGUCUUUGAACGCAAGUUGCGCCCGAAGCCAUCAGGUUGAGGGCACGUCUGCCUGGGCGUCACAUAUCGUUGCUCGAUGCCUAUCGCAUUGCGAUAGGACUUAGGGCGAAUGAUGACUUCCCGUGAGCGUUGUUGCCUCGCGGUUGGUUGAAAAUCGAGUCCUUGGUAGGGUGUGCCAUGAUAGAUGGUGGUCGAGUUAGCAUGAGACCGAUCAUGUGCAUGCUCCCCAAAAUAUGGCCUCUGUGACCCACACGCGUCUUUUGACGCUCAUGACGAGACCUCAGGUCAGGCGGGGCUACCCGCUGAAUUUAAGCAUAUCAAUAAGCGGAGGA
rnacentral:misc_RNA from 1 species